CAAAAUCACGCUUAUACGUUCACAUUUACAAUGGACUUCAAGAAGUUUCUUACAGAAUACUUCUGUGAAACAAUAUCUGUGUAGUUGCGACGACAAUGGGUGUGUGAGCAUAAACUGGUGCAGUCAACGUGGGGGCCGAAAACAGAUAUAGAAGCACCAGAAAAUCAGAAAUAUCUACUUUACCAUUGACGAGAGCAACUGGAAUUACUACCAUUACCACCGACUGCUUCAACGAUGACUCCACGAUGCGGUUGUGACUUAGUCAUAACAAGCGCCAAUUGAUGUGGGUCUGAAGGGGGACCAGCAAUCAGCAUGCUGUCUUCUGUUGGUGCUGUUGUCUCUGCGAGGGCUUGCUGAUGACGUGGCACUGCCUCUCGAGUUGUCAUUAAGUGAUGUCGAACACUGUGAAGAAACUAAGGAAUUUACACGUGGAGUCGAUGUAACACUGGUCUUCACGGGAGACUAUGCAGGAGUGGGCUGGGUUUGGACCCUGUAGUCGUGUGAAACGUACCAGCCGUGAAGCAGUGGAUGUAUUGCUUCAGCCCCAGGGCAGCUCCAGAACACUACUGUA